rnacentral:rRNA from 1 species
AGAAUGAACGCUGGCGGCAUGCCUAACACAUGCAAGUCGAACGAGACCUUCGGGUCUAGUGGCGCACGGGUGCGUAACGCGUGGGAAUCUGCCCCUUGGUUCGGAAUAACAGCGAGAAAUUGCUGCUAAUACCGGAUAAUGACGUAAGUCCAAAGAUUUAUCGCCCAGGGAUGAGCCCGCGUAGGAUUAGCUUGUUGGUGAGGUAAAGGCUCACCAAGGCGACGAUCCUUAGCUGGUCUGAGAGGAUGAUCAGCCACACUGGGACUGAGACACGGCCCAGACUCCUACGGGAGGCAGCAGUGGGGAAUAUUGGACAAUGGGCGAAAGCCUGAUCCAGCAAUGCCGCGUGAGUGAUGAAGGCCUUAGGGUUGUAAAGCUCUUUUACCCGGGAUGAUAAUGACAGUACCGGGAGAAUAAGCUCCGGCUAACUCUGUGCCAGCAGCCGC